AAGAUAUUCAUCACACAAGAAAAAUUAGAUUUCAAAACUAAAUUCCUCUUCAAUGGCUUCUCGCUUCUAUCAACUUUUUUUCUUGGGAGUUUUCUUUGCUGCUUUGGUUCUAACACCAGAACCAACAACAGCACUGGGUCCAGGACUUAACUGCAUAGGGGAAUGCACAAAUGUUUCAGAUUGCAAUACAAAUUGCAUCCAGAAGAAGUUUAAGAGUGGAUUUUGUGCGAAACAAGGGUCUGUUAAUGUUUGUUGUUGUUCGUGAUUGAGUUAUAUUGUACUUAUGAUUAUUUAAUAAAUAAUAAAACAUGUGCCUGAAAUGAGAUUUUAUUA